UCCCGUGUGGCUCAGUUGGCAGAGCAUGGCGUUUGUAACGCCAGGGUUGUGGAUUCGAUUCCCACUGGGGAU
rnacentral:tRNA from 1 species